GAGCGUCGCACGCUUUGCGUAGAUGAGGGAUGGCGCCGGCGCAGGCCUGCGCGCCACGCGCUUUAGGUGGAUGAGGGAUGGCGCAGGUGCAGGCCUGCGCGCCUCACGCUUUAUGUACAUGAGGGAUGAGGCAGCACAGGAAUUGGCACAACCUGAAGUCAGCUCUGCAGCUUUCCAAGCUUCGUUCUGCGUGUCCUGUACUCAACAGUCAUCUCAUGCUGCAGGGUGGCUGCGUGUGCUCCGUACAUCACACCCAUAUUUCAGAUGAACAAGCCAAGGCUGAGGAAAAGAAAACUCCUUGCCCAGCACACAGGCAGUAAGUUGUGGGUCUGGAAGUCACACUAGUUCCAUGAGGCCCCACAAUGCGUGCUGCCUCUGAGACGCUGAGGAGAGAGAAGAGAUGCCUUGGUCACAGCUCCCACCCUCAGAUGAGAUGAGCCUGCAGGUAGGAGGCCUGCCAUGGCAAAUGCUGCCUCUUAGAUGAAUUGGGGUAGGAGAAUGACCCCCAAACUCCUGGAGCAGGCAGGCAGCCACCUGCAUCAAGACCACGGGGUACUUCUGUGGGUCUUAAGCCCUUUCCCCACUCCCUGAAUAGGGGUUUCUGACAGAGGAUGCCGAGGCACUCUGACAUGUGACGCGGUUGUCUAAACGCUGGUGUAAGCCAAAAAUAAAAUUCUAAGGCCCCCCAACCAUCCAAAUGGACCCCUCUUCUCAGCCAAGGGCAUUCCAGAGUUAACCUGAAAAACUGGUUCAGACAUGAUGGAAGAGGGGGUCGGACAUGCCUCAUGAUACCUCCCUCCAUUGUGGAAUUCAGGAAAAGCCAACCAGCCUUAACAUCAACAAAGACCUGAGUCCGAUGAGAAACAGUGACCAUCUGUUCCCUCCAAAGCCUGCUACCCAGAGAUCUGCAUGGUCAAACCCUGGUCUCCACACCCCUUAUCCUAACCCAGACCUUCCUUUCUACUGAUCAUAACUCUUUCAACCAAUUGCCAAUCAGAAAAAUGUUAUGACCUGGAAGCCGCUGCUUUGAGUUGUCCCGUCUUUCCAGACUGAACCAAUGUCAAUCCUACACGUAUUGAAUGAUGCCUCAAUUCUCUCUAAAAUGUAUAAAACCAAGCUGUGCUCCGACCACACUGGGCACAUGGCGUCAGGACCUCCUGAGGCUGUGUCACAGGUGUGUCCUUAACCUCGGCAAAAUAAACUUUCUAAAUUGGUUGA
ensembl:lncRNA LINC00200 long intergenic non-protein coding RNA 200